rnacentral:rRNA from 1 species
UACGGAGGGUGCGAGCGUUGUUCGGAAUCACUGGGCGUAAAGGGCGUGUAGGCGGUCCGCUAAGUCUGAUGUGAAAGCCCGGGGCUCACCCCCGGAAGUGCAUUGGAAACUGGUGGACUCGAGUCUCGGAGAGGAGGGUGGAAUUCCUGGUGUAGCGGUGAAAUGCGUAGAUAUCAGGAGGAACACCGGUGGCGAAGGCGGCCCUCUGGACGGUGACUGACGCUAAGACGCGAAAGCGUGGGGAGCAAACAGG